AGAUACCUGUCCUGCAUUAAAGUGCUCAUUUCAACAGCUGCCAUAAGAUGUCAUACUGAUGGCCUCUGGAUUAGACAAUUUUAAGGGGGCGUUAUACAAAUUCCUGGAAGGGGCAUGUGUCUUGUCAAUGGCUAUUAGCUUUGGAGGAGCAAUUUUCAUUUGCAGCGCAGAAAAAGAAGAAGGAAGAAUUAAACUCUCCCUCUCCACCUGCUGCGUUCCUAAUAAUUAUCAAAUCCAGUGACUGCUAUUUGCAUUUUUUGAAAUGAGCACAUUAAAUGCAAGGGCAUGUUUAAUGCCAUAUCUAUAUUGGCCCUUAAUCUAUGCUAAUAUUUAAUUUGUGAGGCUCAAGGAUCCUGUUGUGGAAAUGAAUCAUGCAUACUCACUGAGUAGUGUGGGGGGGAGAGAAUCGCAAAGAGCUUUUACCUGAUAAACACAUUUGCUUUGUUUAGCCUUUUAUCAAGAGGAAGAAAACUGCAAAGCAAGUUUCCUUUUUUUAAAAAAAGCAGGGAACAGCUUGUUUCCAUGACAUUUAUACAAUAAGCCAUAUCUAAAUGACAAGCAGAUUGGUGGAAAAACAAUGUUUUACUGCCCUUUUCUCCUUUGAUCCUUGAUGUCUUAAGUAAAUGAAAAGGCACAGGUUUGUAGGCAAAGAUCAACCGUUACGAAUUGACAAGCUGCACAGAAUCCUGAAAGUAUGAGAAUCGGAGAUCUGUAUCGGUGUCCAGAGUAACAUUAGAUCUGGACCGUCAAAGGUAAGGGAUGGCUGGGGAAAGUAGUCAGUUGGUAGGGGCAAGAGUUUUCUCGUUUCUGACUCUGUUGCACUUGCCUCACACAGGGGUCCUGCAUAGAGUCUUGGCCUGCAGUCAGAGAAAGUGGAACACCCUCCCAGCACGUGGAAUAGACAAGACGAUCCACAGUGGGAAAGUCAGAGAGGAAGGGGACACUGCCGAUACCUGACCUAACCCGGACUUCCUUUCGAGAACUCUUCCUCAGAAAUCAGUGAUUAAACAUCCCCCUGGAACAUCAGCUCCCCAAAGGUGCUGCAAGAACAACAUAGCCAUACAGGAAAUGAUGUUCCUCACCAGUGCCAGGAAGACCGCAAGUGAUGCAGCAGAAGCAGUGGCUAGCAAGAAGUCAGAUGUUCAGAUGUGGGGCUGCUGCUGUUUUCUUCCCAGGGGUCAUGUGCCCUUCAAGAAAUGCAUGGCAAACAGUUACAUUCAUGCACAUCACAGGGAAAGAUGGCCCCCUCCUAUCCUGUUACAAAGCUUCAAAAGGCACAGUGGCUCUACAAGAAGAAAAAAGAUUGACAUCCGGGACUCGCUCCACAACUGAUCGUUCAAUAAUAAUAAAAAACAACCCCAGUGUUUA